GAUGAACGCUGGCGGCGUGCCUAAUACAUGCAAGUCGAGCGAACAGAUAAGGAGCUUGCUCCUUUGACGUUAGCGGCGGACGGGUGAGUAACACGUGGAUAACCUACCUAUAAGACUGGGAUAACUUCGGGAAGCCGGAGCUAAUACCGGAUAACAUAUUGAACCGCAUGGUUCAAUAGUGAAAGGCGGCUUUGCUGUCACUUAUAGAUGGAUCCGCGCCGUAUUAGCUAGUUGGUAAGGUAACGGCUUACCAAGGCAACGAUACGUAGCCGACCUGAGAGGGUGAUCGACCACACUGGAACUGAGACACGGUCCAGACUCCUACGGGAGGCAGCAGUAGGGAAUCUUCCGCAAUGGGCGAAAGCCUGACGGAGCAACGCCGCGUGAGUGAUGAAGGUCUUCGGAUCGUAAAACUCUGUUAUCAGGGAAGAACAAAUGUGUAAGUAACUGUGCACAUCUUGACGGUACCUGAUCAGAAAGCCACGGCUAACUACGUG
rnacentral:rRNA from 1 species